rnacentral:rRNA from 1 species
GACGAACGCUGGCGGCGUGCUUAACACAUGCAAGUCGAACGGAAAGGCCCUGCUUUUGUGGGGUGCUCGAGUGGCGAACGGGUGAGUAACACGUGAGUAACCUGCCCUUGACUUUGGGAUAACUUCAGGAAACUGGGGCUAAUACCGGAUAGGAUCUCCUGCUGCAUGGUGGGGGUUGGAAAGUUUCGGCGGUUGGGGAUGGACUCGCGGCUUAUCCGCUUGUUGGUGGGGUAGUGGCUUACCAAGGCUUUGACGGGUAGCCGGCCUGAGAGGGUGACCGGCGACAUUGGGACUGAGAUACGGACCAGACGCCUACGGGAGGCAGCAGUGGGGAGUAUUGCACAAUGGGCGGAAGCGUGAUGCAGAAACGCCGCGUGCGGGAUGACGGCCUUCGGGUUGUAAACCGCUUUCGCCUGUGACGAAGCGUGAGUGACGGUAAUGGGUAAAGAAGCACCGGCUAACUACGUG